rnacentral:lncRNA from 10 species
UCAGUUUACCUCAUUCAACCUUCACUGCAAUCAAGGAGGAAGCUUUAUCAUCCCUAUCUGACAGAACUGAGGACAUGGCUGAAGGAGAUUAAAAGCACAUUUGGAAAUACCGCUUUAGAUACUCUACAAGUUAACCUUGGAAUAAACCAGACUAUCAGAGGGCAUUGUCACUCACUGACGGAUUUCUUUCAUUCCUCUCUGCUUUGGCAUUAGGCAGUCAGCCACAUCAAGAGACUUCAUAAGAAACAGCCCUGUAACUCAUUUGUUGCUUUCCUGUAAGAAUGUUGUCAAGGACAUUAUUUACUUCAUUACAAAGGGUCUUCUUUGUGCUGGAGAAACUUCUCUCAGAUCUCUGUGCCAGGAAGAAUGGUGUUUCUCUCAAACACUGGGUUUGAUAUUACAGAUAGUAUAAACUAUAUAUCCAGGCACAUCCUCCUUUAGUGAGUAUAUACAAACUGGCUUCACUUCAUUUUUUUCAUCUUCCAACUUCUCCAUAAUAAUAUUUACUUUUAAAAAUGUUCUUAACAAUGAAUAUGACCAAGACAAUUUGAGGAAACCAAUCAUAAACUUUGUGUCAAUAUAGUAAGCAUGUUUCCUGCAGGGAGAUACCACUGUUCCCACUAAAAUAGAACACAACAAAAGGAGGCAGGAGAGAAAUGAAUGACUUAGGACCUGUCUAGGUUGAAAAGGCAAACUAGAAGUGGGGCACACCUAACUUGUUUAAAAAGACUUUGUCAACUAUUAUUUGUGUACUCUUGGCAUUUCUGUGUUCUCCUCAUUCCUAUUUCAUUCCUAUUCCCCUUUAAUAUUUCCUUUACAUACCUGAUACCUUCCCUCCCAAAAAUGGUGUGUGUCUAUGUAGUUCCUUGAUGAUUUUGUCAACGAAUAAUAAACCCUGGGUUUUGGAUAAGGAGGUGAAAAGAAAGGGCUCUGCUUGAUUCUG